UACGUAGGGGGCGAGCGUUGUCCGGAUUUAUUGGGCGUAAAGAGCGUGUAGGCGGCCAGGUAGGUCCGUUGUGAAAACUCGAGGCUCAACCUCGAGACGUCGAUGGAAACCAUCUGGCUAGAGUCCGGAAGAGGAGAGUGGAAUUCCUGGUGUAGCGGUGAAAUGCGCAGAUAUCAGGAAGAACACCUAUGGCGAAGGCAGCUCUCUGGGACGGUACUGACGCUAAGGCGCGAAAGCGUGGGGAGCGAACAGG
rnacentral:rRNA from 1 species